rnacentral:rRNA from 1 species
AUUGAACGCUGGCGGAAUGCUUUACACAUGCAAGUCGAACGGCAGCACGGGGGCAGCCCUGGUGGCGAGUGGCGAACGGGUGAGUAAUACAUCGGAACGUGCCCGGUCGUGGGGGAUAACGUAGCGAAAGUUACGCUAAUACCGCAUACGAUCUGAGGAUGAAAGCGGGGGACCUUCGGGCCUCGCGCGAUCGGAGCGGCCGAUGUCAGAUUAGGUAGUUGGUGGGGUAAAGGCCUACCAAGCCGACGAUCUGUAGCUGGUCUGAGAGGACGACCAGCCACACUGGGACUGAGACACGGCCCAGACUCCUACGGGAGGCAGCCGUGGGGAAUUUUGGACAAUGGGCGCAAGCCUGAUCCAGCCAUUCCGCGUGCAGGACGAAGGCCUUCGGGUUGUAAACUGCUUUUGUACGGAACGAAAAGGCUCUGGCUAAUACCUGGGGCUCAUGACGGUACCGUAAGAAUAAGCACCGGCUAACUACGUG